UUAGAUACCCUAUUAUUUUAAACGUAAAUUAUAAAACUAAGUGAUUAAUAGUUAAGUUCUUUAAAGCUAAAUGAUUUGGCGGUAUUUUAAACUUUUCAGAGGAACCUGUUCUAUAAUCGAUAAUCCACGAUUGAAUUAACUUAAAUUAGAAAUUUUUAUAUCGUCGUUAUUAAAUAUUUUAUAAGAAUAUAAUAUUUAAAAUUUUUAAUUUGAAAAUAAAUCAGAUCAAGGUGAAGUUUAUAUUUAAGAAGAGAUGGGUUACAGUAAAUUAUAUUUAUGGAUUACUAAUUUGAAAAAUUUAAUGAAAUUGGAUUUGAAAGUAAUUAGUUA
rnacentral:rRNA from 1 species